UCUAAUAUGACAGAAAUAUGUAAUGGAUUUAAACCCCAUUUAUAAAAGAUUAUUAUCUUUUUUUUAGAA
rnacentral:tRNA from 1 species